rnacentral:rRNA from 1 species
GAACGCUAGCUACAGGCUUAACACAUGCAAGUCGAGGGGCAGCAUUUUAGUUUGCUUGCAAACUGAAGAUGGCGACCGGCGCACGGGUGAGUAACACGUAUCCAACCUGCCGAUAACUCCGGAAUAGCCUUUCGAAAGAAAGAUUAAUACCGGAUAGCAUACGAAUAUCGCAUGAUAUUUUUAUUAAAGAAUUUCGGUUAUCGAUGGGGAUGCGUUCCAUUAGUUUGUUGGCGGGGUAACGGCCCACCAAGACUACGAUGGAUAGGGGUUCUGAGAGGAAGGUCCCCCACAUUGGAACUGAGACACGGUCCAAACUCCUACGGGAGGCAGCAGUGAGGAAUAUUGGUCAAUGGGCGAGAGCCUGAACCAGCCAAGUAGCGUGAAGGAUGAAGGCUCUAUGGGUCGUAAACUUCUUUUAUAUGGGAAUAAAGUUUUCCACGUGUGGAAUUUUGUAUGUACCAUAUGAAUAAGGAUCGGCUAACUCCGUGCCAGCAGCCGCGGUAAUACGGAGGAUCCGAGCGUUAUCCGGAUUUAUUGGGUUUAAAGGGAGCGUAGGUGGAUUGUUAAGUCAGUUGUGAAAGUUUGCGGCUCAACCGUAAAAUUGCAGUUGAAACUGGCAGUCUUGAGUACAGUAGAGGUGGGCGGAAUUCGUGGUGUAGCGGUGAAAUGCUUAGAUAUCACGAAGAACUCCGAUUGCGAAGGCAGCUCACUAGACUGUCACUGACACUGAUGCUCGAAAGUGUGGGUAUCAAACAGGAUUAGAUACCCUGGUAGUCCACACAGUAAACGAUGAAUACUCGCUGUUUGCGAUAUACAGUAAGCGGCCAAGCGAAAGCAUUAAGUAUUCCACCUGGGGAGUACGCCGGCAACGGUGAAACUCAAAGGAAUUGACGGGGGCCCGCACAAGCGGAGGAACAUGUGGUUUAAUUCGAUGAUACGCGAGGAACCUUACCCGGGCUUAAAUUGCAACAGAAUAUAUUGGAAACAGUAUAGCCGUAAGGCUGUUGUGAAGGUGCUGCAUGGUUGUCGUCAGCUCGUGCCGUGAGGUGUCGGCUUAAGUGCCAUAACGAGCGCAACCCUUAUCUUUAGUUACUAACAGGUUAUGCUGAGGACUCUAGAGAGACUGCCGUCGUAAGAUGUGAGGAAGGUGGGGAUGACGUCAAAUCAGCACGGCCCUUACGUCCGGGGCUACACACGUGUUACAAUGGGGGGUACAGAAGGCAGCUAGCGGGUGACCGUAUGCUAAUCCCAAAAGCCUCUCUCAGUUCGGAUCGAAGUCUGCAACCCGACUUCGUGAAGCUGGAUUCGCUAGUAAUCGCGCAUCAGCCACGGCGCGGUGAAUACGUUCCCGGGCCUUGUACACACCGCCCGUCAAGCCAUGGGAGCCGGGGGUACCUGAAGUACGUAACCGCAAGGAUCGUCCUAGGGUAAAACUGGUGACUGGGGCUAAG